rnacentral:rRNA from 1 species
UCAGAACGAACGCUGGCGGCGUGCUUAACACAUGCAAGUCGGAUGCGAACGGCGCUUACGGGCGUAGAGUAGCAUGGCAGACGGGUGAUGAGCGCGUAUCUGACUGGACUCAGGCUGGGGGAUAGUCCCUCCAAAGGGGGUUGAAUACCGCAUGUGCUCGGUGCUGUGAGGGCAUCGAGGAAAGUCGGCCUCUGCGGGCACGCUGAUGGCCUGAGACAGGGAUGCGUCCUAUUAGCUAGCUGGUGGGGUACGGGCCUACCAGGGCGACGAUGGGUAGCUGGUCUGAGAGGAUGAUCAGCCACACUGGGACUGCGACACGGCCCAGACUCCUACGGGAGGCAGCAGUGGGGAAUUUUGCGCAAUGGGCGCAAGCCUGACGCAGCAACGCCGCGUGCAUGACGACGCCUUUCGAGGUGUAAAGUGCUGUCGACCGGGACGAAGGGGCGAGGGUGAACAGCUUUCGCGCAUGACGGUACCGGUGGAGGAAGCCCCGGCUAACUCCGUGCCAUCAGCCGCGGUAAGACGGAGGGGGCGAGCGUUGUUCGGAAUUACUGGGCGUACAGCGCGCGUAGGCGGUGCAGCAAGUGGUGCGUGAAAGCCCUCGGCUUAACCGGGGACGGGCGUGCCAGACUGUCGGACUGGAGUGCCGGAGGGCGAGGCGGCAUUCCUGGUGGAGCGGUGCAAUGCGUAGAGAUCCGGACGAGCGUCGGUGGCGAAGGCGGCCUCCUGGACGGACACUGACGCUGAGGUGCGACAGCGUGGGGAGCGAACGGGAUUAGAUACCCCGGUAGUCCACGCCGUAAACGAUGGGUACUAGGUGUGGGGCUUGUGAUGAGGCCCGUGCCGGAGCUAACGCAGUAAGUACCCCGCCUGGGGAGUACGGUGGCAAGGCUGAACUCUCCAGGCACUUGACGGACGCCCGCACAACCGGUGGAGCAUGCUGGUUUAUUCGACGCAACGCGCAGAACAUCACCCAGGUCCGACAUGCACCGGCACAGCGAGGAGAGUCGCUGCCCCGUUUCGGGACGGUGCACAGCUGCUGCAUGACUGUCGUCAGCUCGUCUCGUGAGAUGAUGGUUUAAGUCCCGCAACGAGCGCAACCCCCGCCGGUAGUUGCCAACAGCUGAGACUGGGGACUUUACGGGAACUAUCGAUGUGAAACCGGAGGAAGGUGGGGAUGACGUCAAGUCCUCAUGGCCCUUACGCGUGGGGCGACACACGUGCUACCAUGGGNCGGACAACGGGGCACGACCUUGCGAGGGGGAGCGAAUCCCUGAAACCGUGUCCUCAGUUCGGAUUGGAGUCUGCAACUCGACUCCAUGAAGGUGGAAUCGCUAGUAAUCGCGGAUCAGCAUGCCGCGGUGAAUACGUUCCCGGGCAUUGUACACACCGCCCGUCACACCACGAAAGUUGAUGAUACCCGAAGUCG